rnacentral:rRNA from 1 species
AGUUCAAUCAUGGCUCAGAUUGAACGCUGGCAGGAUAACUUUACAUGCAAGUCAGGCAGCGGCACGGACUUCGGUCUGGUGUGAGUGGCGAACAGGUGAGUAAUGUAUCGGAACGUGCCUAGUAGCGAGGGAUAACUGCGAAGGCGUAGCUAAUACCGCAUACGCCCUUCGGGGAAAGCGGGGACCUUCGGGCACUCGCACUAUUAGAGCGGCCGAUAUCAGUUCGCUGGUUGGUGGGGUAACGGCUCACCAGGCGACGAUCCAUGGCUGGUUUGAAGAGGACGACCAGCCACUGGGACUGAGACGGCAGACUCCUACGGGAGGCGGCAGUGGGAAUUUUGGACAAUGGGGGAAACCUGAUCCAGCCAUCCCGUGUGCAUGAAGGCCUUCGGGUUGUAAAGCACUUUUGGCAGGAAAGGAACGGCUGGGAUCAAUACCCGUGCAGCUGACGGUACCUGCAGAAUAAGCACCGGCUAACUACGUGCCAGCGGCCAUGACAAUACGUAGGGUUGCAAGCGUUAAUCGGAAUUACUGGGCGUAAGCGUGCCGAGCGGUUUCGGAAAAGAAAAGAUGCUGAAAUCCCAGGCUUAACGGAACUGCAUUUUUAACUACCAGGCUAGAGAGUGUGUCAGAGGGAAGUGGAAUUCCGCGUGUAGCAGUGAAAUGCGUAGAUAUGCGGAGGAACACCGAUGGCGAAAGAGCAGCCUCCUGGGAUAACACUGACGCUCAUGCACGAAAGCGUGGGGCAAACAGGAUUAGAUACCCUGGUAGUCCACGCCCCUAAACGAUGUCAACUAGCUGUUUGAGACCUUCGGGCCUUGGUAGCGCAACUAACGCGUGAAGUUGACCGCCUGGGGAGUGCAGUCGCAAGAUUAAAACUCAAAGGAAUUGACGGGGACCCGCACAAGCGGUGGAUGAUGUGGAUUAAUUCGAUGCAACGCGAAAAACCUUACCUACCCUUGACAUGUCUGGAAUCCCGAAGAGAUUUGGGAGUGCUCCUUAAGAGAACCCGGAACACAGGUGCUGCAUGGCUGUCGUCAGCUCGUGUCGUGAGAUGUUGGGUUAAGUCCACAACGAAGCCGCAGCCUUAAUGCAUUUGGUUGCUACGAAAGGGCACUCUAAUGAGACUGCCGGUGACAAACCGGAGGAAAGUGGGGAUGACGUCAAGUCCUCAUGGCCCUUGUAGGUGGGGCUUCACACGUCAUACAAUGGUCGGGACGGAGGGUCGCCAACCCGCGAGGAGCCGUCCAAGAAACCCGAUCGUAGUCGGAUCUUUUGAUCUGCAACUCGACUGCGUGAAGUCGGAAUCGCUAAUAGUAAUCGCGGAUCAGCAUGUCGCGGUGAAUACGUUCCCGGGUCUUGUACACCGCCCGUCACACCUCUUGGGAGUGGGUUUUACCCAGAAGUAGUUAGCCUAACCGUAAGGAGGGCGAUUACCACCGGUGAUUCAUGACUGGGGUGAAGUCAUCAACAAGGUAA